GGCACCACUUCAAUAUUUGCAUAGGUGGAAUAGGCUAUUAUAUCCCGAUUACUCUCAACAUUACUUAUCCCAAUGUUCAAAAUGAAGGAGGAGAUAAAGAAAGUGAUGAAGAAAUUGACCUUAGUUGAGAAAUUUUUUGAAUUAUUGAUAGAUAUUUUAGUAUCGAGCUUUUUGAUAUUGAAUUUUGUGAAACUUAUCGCCACUCGAACUUGAUACUUUAUGGGAAAAUUAAUGACCGUUUGACUUUAA